rnacentral:rRNA from 1 species
AUGUUGAACUCCUUGAUUCCAGCCAUUGCCAUGUCUGUUGAGGCAUUGCCAACUGCUUCUGCUGUUUGGAGCAUGUUGUUCACAAGGUAUUCCGGUAAGGGAAACCUGAUGCUCAUGUCUCAAAUUGAAGACAAGAUUCAUGCUGUUCGUCAAGGUGACAGAAGUGUGCUGGUGUAUGUGAAUGAGCUGCAACACCUUUGGGCAGAUCUGGAUCAGUGUGAUCCCCUUGAGAUUCCACAUGCAGAGUCCAUGGAGCUUGCCAGGAAGUGGGUUGAGCGCAGGCGUGUGGUGCAGUUUCUAAAGGGCCUAGAUCAAGCUUUUGAGAGUAGACAUGCUGCGAUGCUACAUCAGCCGACGCUUGUGACCCUUGAUGAGGCCAUUGCUGCGAUGUCCCAAGAAGAGGUACGCUUGCAGUCGAGAAGGGGAGUUGGAAAUGAAUCUGCUUACAGGGUGGCUGACCAGCGAGGGGUGUGUCACAAUUGUGGUCAACCAGGGCAUAUCAGCCGUUUCUGCAUUGGACCUAGGAACGUCAGAGGCCGAGGGUACAGUGGUGGCAGUAGCAGCCGAGGUGGUUGGAAUGUGAGUGGCGGUUCUUGGAAUGCUCCCCAUUGGAAUGCUCCUAAGGCAAAUGUAGUUGCUUCAGCUGCAGGGAAGCAGCCUGUAGGAGGACAGGGGACUGCUCCCAGCUAUGCCAACUUUGUUGAUACAAAUGAAGGAGAGAUUGACGGGCAGGAGUCUUGGGACUGGAACAAGGCGUAG